UACAGAGGGUGCGAGCGUUAAUCGGAGUUACUGGGCGUAAAGGGCGCGUAGGCGGUUUAUUGAGUGUGAUGUGAAAGCCCUGGGCUUAACCUAGGAAGUGCAUCGCAAACGAAUAGACUGGAGUAGAUGAGAGGGUGGCGGAAUUUCCGGUGUAGCGGUGAAAUGCGUAGAGAUCGGAAGGAACGUCAAUGGCGAAGGCAGCCACCUGGCAUCAUACUGACGCUGAGGCGCGAAAGCGUGGGGAGCGAACAGGAUUAGAUACCCUGGUAGUCCACGCUGUAAACGAUGAUAACUAAAUGUUGAUAGGGGAACCUCUCAGUAUUGAAGCAAACGCGAUAAGUUAUCCGCCUGGGAAGUACGGCCGCAAGGUUGAA
rnacentral:rRNA from 1 species